GGAAGGGAAGGGGAAGGGAAGGGACCCAGGCUAACAGACUCCAGAUACCAGCAGCAGCCCUUGAGCCAUGUUGCCUAAUUGUCCCCAAGGAGAAAACUUCCCAGGUCUUCGGAGGCAGCAAAAGCUUUCCUGGCACAGAGCUAGAAAAGAAGAUUCUCAUGGUGUCUCAUGUGGCAGGAACUACAGGAGCUGGGCCAAGAAGAGCCCAAGAAGACAUUACUACUAACUGUCACAUGGUGUCACGGAUGGGAUCUUCGGACAGAAAAAGGAAAUUGGGCCAGGCGCGGUGGCUCACGCCUAUAAUCCCAUCACUUUGGGAGGCUGAGGCUGUACAAGAAGCAUGGUGCCAGCAUCUGCUGCUAGUGAGGACCGCAGGAAGCUUCCUAUCAUAGUGGAAGAUGAAGGGGGGCCGACAAGAUCACGUGACUCUCCCUGCGAUAUCCUCUCUGGGAAUCCAGCUGCCAAGCUGUGAGAAGCCCUAGCCCCAUGGAGAGAGGCACCCGUCAACCAGGCUUCAGACACAGAGUAAAGAAGCUUCCAGGCGACCCCAGCCCCCAGGCAUCCAAAUCACCGCCAGCAUUCAGGUCUUUCCAAGUAAAGGCCAGAUACCACAGAGCAAAGACAAACUGUUCUCACAGGCCCUGUCUGAAUUAGCAACCUAUAGAAUUUGUGAGUUCAGGCCAGGCACGGUGGCCCACACCUGUAAUUCUAACACUUUGGGA
rnacentral:lncRNA from 1 species